AUGAAUAAGAUUAUCAUUUCUUUUGCAAAUUGUUUCAAAUAUUCGAAAUGGGUUUCUAGUUUAUGGAUUUGAUUGGUUUUAUUUGUUGAUUUUUUGUUAUAAUGGCAGUUUUGUGCCCCUUGUAUUACUAUUACCUGAAGCAUCUGGUGAAUUAUUUUUGGCUCGGAUUGCUCACUUGUAUUACUAUUACCUGAAGCAUCUGGUGAAUUAUUUUUGGCUCGGAUUGCUCACUACUACUGUUGGUUUCAUGGUGGGCUU
rnacentral:lncRNA from 1 species